GGCGGAGGCCAAGAGGGGGCUUGAGGCCGCGGCGGGGACGCCGGGGGUUAGAGGACCCAGAGGUGGUGGCGGGGCUGCGGCUGGGCGGAGGUGGGGGCAGUGAGAGCCGCGUUCAACCGCGCCCCCGCUCAGCCGCCGCGGCCCUCAGCGCAUCGUCCUGAGCCCAGGACCUUGGCAGUUGGUAGGCCUCCUGCCCCUCUGGUCUUGAGCCUUCGGCUUUCCAACUGUGAGGUCUCGGUUUUGUUCGGAUUUGUUUUUUAAUAGAGACGGGGUCUCGCUGUGUUGCCCAGGUGGUCUCAAAGUCCUGGGCUCAAGCCUCUCCCGCCUCGGCCUCCCAAAGUGCUGGGAUUACAGGUGUGAGCCACCGAGCCUGGCCUGUUGGAUUUUUAAGUAUUAUAUGAUUCUUCAUCCUUUAUUCACUUGGGGCAUAACACUCAGCUGUGAGUACAUUCAUUCAGAUGUUUAUUGAGCGUCUACUAUGCGCCAGGCACUUAGCGUGGGAUAUAGCAAUGAACAAACAGGCCAAGCCCCGCCCUCUGAGCUUACGUUCUAGAGGGGGGACAAACGAAUGUACAAAUGAAUACAUGAUGUAGAAGACAACAGUUUAAAUGCAGGGACAGUUAAGCAAAAUUUAAAUUACCCUCUCCCUAUUCCCCCAGAAUGUUGUAGCCCAUCCCCUUCUAGUUAGACUCGUCUUCGCCUUGCUCCUGUGGCCGGCAGGCACAGCCUGUUAUUCAGGGCUGGGAGUGUAACCAGGCAACUCCUAAGUGUGAAGAGUGCCCCUUUUCGCUCGCAGAAGUGGUAGGCUUUGAAGAAUACAUGUCGUGGUCACCCUUCUAGCUCACAGCCCUCCCAGAGGCUGUGGAGGUUCCUGGGUCUGCAGCUGUACUGGAACGGUGGCUAUUCUUUCAUUCAGAAGGGAUUGCUCUGGCACUGCAGGCACAGGGCUAGACUGGCACCGUGCCUAUUCCCCUGGAGCUUAGAAUUUGGUAGGGAGGCAGAAUCUAACAAUCACACUGGUAAAGAUACAAACUAUAAUACAGGGCUAUGAAAAGAACUAUAUGCUGCUGAGAGCAGGCAUUGUGGGAUGGUGAGCAAGGCAAGAGGGUCACUUAUGUUCCCUGAACAAGUCUUGAAGAGAUGGGUAAAGAAUGGAGAAGAGUAAUUAGUGCAGUGGAACAGCACGUGCAAAGGCUUUGAGGCAAUAUAGUAAACGAGGCAAAACAGGAGCAUGAGGCUGGAGAAGAGUUGGAAAAUGAGGCUAGAGAGCAGGCUGGGUUCAUAAUACAAAAGCUUAGAAUGCUUACUAUGUGUCAGUUGGCUAGGGCUGCCAUGACAAAGCACCACAGAUUUGGUGGCCCGAAACAACAGAAAUUUAUUCUCUUGUAGUUCAGAGGCCAGAAGUCUGAAAUCCAGGUGUCCGCAGGGCCAUCGUCUAUCUGAAGGCACUCUAGGGGAAUCCUCUGUUUCUUCCAGUCUCUGGUGGCCCCACACAUGUUUUGGCUGUGGAUACAUAGAUCCAGUCUCCACUUCUGUCUUCACAUGGCCUCCUCUCUUUCUCUCUCUCUUUCUCUGUCUCUCUCUCUUUUUAUUUUAGAUGGAGUCUAUGUUGCCUAGGCUGAUUUCAAACUCUUAGGCUCAAGUGAUCCUCCUGCCUUGGCCUCCCAAAGUUGAGAUUACAGGUGUGAGCCACUGUAUUAGUCCGUUUUCACACCGCUGAUAAAGACAUACCCAAGACUGGGGAGGCCUCACAAUCAUGGUGCAGGGCAAAAGGCACAUCUUACAUGGUGGCAGACAGAGAAUGAGAGCCAAGCGAAAGGGGUUUCCCCUUAUAAAACCAUCAGAUCUCGUGAGACUUAUUCACUACCAGGAGAACAGUAUGGGGAACUGCCCCCAUGAUUCAGUUAUCUCCCUCUAGGUCCCUCCCACAACACGUGGGAAUUAUGGGAGCUAACAAUUCAAGAUGAAAUUUGGGUGGGGACAGAGCCAAAUGAUAUCAGCCAUCUAUCCUAUCCUGUUCUAUCUCUUAUAAGGACAUUUGUCAUUGGCUUUAGGGUCCACUUGGUUAAUUCAGAAUGAUCUCAUCUUGAAAUCCUCACUUAUAUCUGCAAAGAUUCUUUUUCCAGAUAAGGAUACAUACCUGGAGAUAGGACUUGGACAUGUAUUUUUGGGGGCCGCCAUUCAAACCACUAUAUUGACUUUGCAAAUAAAAGAAACUUGACCAAAGAAAAGAAACUUGACCUGGUGGGUAGUCACAAUUACUCAUCCCUGACAUACUGUUAAGUGGAGAAAAAUCAAUUCAUGAGACAUGUAAACGAUUAACCUAUUUAGUUAAAAAUAUAUUGGCCAGGCGUGGUGACUCAUGCCUGUAUCCUGGUGCUGUGGGAGGCCAAGGUGGGAAGAUUGCUCCAAGCUAGAAGUUCGUGACCAGCUGGGCAACGUAAGAGAAUCUCCCCAUCUCUACAGAAAAUUAAAAAAAAAAAAAAUUAGCCAACCAUGGUGGCACAUGCUUGUAGUCCUAGCUGUUCAGGUGGCUGAGGCAGGAGGAUUGCUUGAGCCCAGGAGUUGGAGGCUGCAGUGAACUAUGUUUGUGCCAGUGUACUGCAUUCCAGCAUGAGUGACAGAGCAAGACCCUGUCUGUAAAUAAAUAAAUAAAUUUAUCUGUAUGUUCAUGUAUAAAUAGAAUUUUUCUAUUCUAUUUUUACCUAUUCAGGUAUAGGUAUUAUACUCUGAUACUUGCUUUCUUCUUAUCUUUUAGUAUUGUCAGAUUUUUUUAAUGCUUUUUAUAAAUAUAGAAAAAAACCACAAAGCUCUUUACAGUUUGAAAAAAGCUUUUGUAGGAGUAUCCAAAAAUACUUAGCGUGCAUGUAUGGAUAGGGGGUGUUUUUUCUGUUCCUUUUGAUGGAAGUACCUGAGGAAAGGGUCUUCAACUGUGUAAGGAGUUUCUCUUAGCAACUUGAACUUAAAAGGUAGCUGGAAUUGAUAUAAAAUAAGUUGUGGAGCCAUAAUUAUUUAUAUUACAUAAAAACGUAUGUUCUUUUUUCCAGAUAUGAUUUGAGGCAGCUAGUGUAAAGUGUAAGAAAGCUGUUUUCUGGUUGGAAGGCCUAAGGAGAGAACAUCGUCGGGCACGGCCAACUAAGGAAUGUUACAGUCAGCUUGGCCAGUGUCUUGCCCUGGUCCUUAAACCAGUUGAGAUGAGUAACUGAUGAAGCUGUAUUUUGUCUUCCCUUUGGCAGAUUAGGGUACUUGAAGAGAACACCUUGAGGAUUGUAACCCUGUGACCAUCUAUACCUGCCAUCCAUUCCUGCUAGCAUCUUUGAAAUAUGUAGCAACAAAUUGAUCAGGAAGUUUGAGAAGUGAAUCCUUAGUAAAGGAAUAGUGAUGGAGAACAGAGCAGCUAAUCUCACUGCCAAGAGAAGGGAAGCCAAAGGGAGCCUCAGGUCAUCAGGUACCAGGACAUUCAGGGCUUUAAAGUCACUGCCUUCACUUUGUGGGCCAUUUGAAGAAAUCCAUACAGAACUUGAAAACGAGUUGUAAUAGAAUCUUGCCCAGCAGAAGCAAGGGUCUGUCAGGUAUUUUUGCUCAUUCCCUUUUUGUUUUUCAGGGUUGUUUCCUCAGCUUACAUUUUUCCCUUUCAACUCACUCACUCCCUGGAUGGUUUAAUUCCCCUCCGGGUAUACCAUUACUCAUACUAGCUAUGUAGAAAUGCACUUUCCUUGGUGCUCUGCUGGUCUCCUGGACAACUGCAUCUACCUCCUCUCCACGUGUCUAAUGCACAUCCAUCAAUUUGCCCCUCACUCUCUUAUUUCCUCUAUUUUGUUUCAUGGCUUUACCAUUCACUCAGCUGUUAACCCGAGAAACUUCAGUUCUCUUUCCCCCUUUCUCUGGAGCACCUUCUUCACCUAAACAGACAUUCAGUGAGGCAUUAAGUCUGGCCAUUUCUGCCCAUGGAAUGUUUCUGGAAUCCUUGGACUUUGCAAGAGCCUUUUAUUUAUUUUUAAAUUUUUAAAUUAUUUUUUAAAGACAGAGUCUCACUCUGUCACCCAGGCUGGAGUGCAGUGACACAAUCUUGGCUCACUGCAACCUCCACCUCCCAGGUUCAAGUGAUUCUCCUGCCUUAGCCUCCUGAGUAGCUGGGAUUACAGGCGCCCGCCCCAACACCCAGCUAAUUGUGUUUUUAGUAGAGAUGAGGUUUCACCAUGUUGGGCAGGCUGGUCUCAAACUCCUGACCUCAAGUGAUUCGCCCAUCUCGGCCUCCCAAAGUGCUGGGAUUACAAGCGUGAGCCACCACGCCCGGCCUGCAAAAGCUUUUAACUUAUCUCAGACCUAAGGCUGUUUCCAAUUCAUCUUCCAAAUAGUCAUCAAUUAUUCUUGUAGAACAGAUUUCUGAUCUUGUCUCUCUCCUGCUUAAUAACAUCCAAUAGUUUAGCCAUUGUCUAAGUUUUAUUUUACUUUGAGACAAAAGUCUCACUCUGUUGCCCAGACUGGAGUGCAGUGGUGCAAUCAUGCUCACUGUAGCUUUGACCUCCCGGGCUCAAGCGAUCCUCAAACCUCAGCCUCCAGAGGAGCUGGGACCACAAGUGUGUGCCACCAUGCUUGGCUUAUUUACUUUAUUAUUUUAUUUUAUUUUAUUUUAUUUUAUUUUAUUUUAUUUUUUGUAGAGUCAGGGUCUCCCUAUAUUGUCCUGGCUGGUUUUGAACCCCUGGGCUCAAGCUAUCCUCCCACCUCGGCCUCUUAAAGUGCUGGGAUUACAGGCAUGAGCCACCAAAACCAGCUAAAGUUGUAAUUCCUUAGCAAUGUGUUGUACACUUCCUCCAUGUCCUUUCAUCCCCAGUCAAAUUCACCUUUCUGCUCACCUGCUCUCUUAGUUGUCUGCUUUCUGCCAUAUGACAACCAGCUCUUCCAACACCUUAGCCCAGAUUGAUUUUACAUGUGCUAUCUAGUGCGUGUUACGUGUUUGUUUCAGCUAGAGAGGUUUCUGGAGUUAACCAAGUUUGCAUGUGUGUCUGGGGAUGCUUAGGAGAAUGUUGUAAAUGACCAGUAUACCAGAGUGACACUGUGAUUUGCUUCUUCUCCAUGCUGGGAGCAGCAGUCCCCAAAUCGUGCAGUGGCCAGCAUUUUGUUCAGGAGAAAAUUGCUGUAGUUCCAAGUAUUGUUAAACUGAAAUGAUAUAGGCUGGAUUCACAUGCACUUUUGGAAAUAUCAUAUAUUUUGAAGGUAUUAUAAGUUUGAUUUUUUUGAUGAAAUAUCUGCACUCUCUCCUUGGAUUAAAUCAUUUUUGCACUUUUUAUUCCUUUCCCCCACAAUUAUUAUUAUUUUUUUGAGACGGAGUCUCGCUUUGUCACCCAGGCUGGAGUGCAGUGACGCGAUCUCGGCUCACUGCAAGCUCCACCUCCCGGGUUCACGCCAUUCUCCUGCCUGAGCCUCCCGAAUAGCUGGGACUACAGGUGCGUGCCACCACGCCCGGCUAAUUUUUUGUAUUUUUUAGUAGAGACGGGGUUUCACCAUGUUAUCCAGGAUGGUCUCCAUCUCCUGACCUCGUGAACCACCCACCUCGGCCUCCCAGAGUGCUGGGAUUACAGGCGUGUGCCACCGCACCCGGCCCCCCACAAUUAUUUUUGUUUGUUUGCUUUUCAUUCCUGAAAUCCUGCACUGAAGCUCUCUGGUACUUCUAUUUACUUUUUCUCUACCUUUAAUUUUCUUCAUUUUAUUUUUCAUUCCAUUCCUUUUUCUGUUUUCAAAAACUUUUUUUUCUCAUUUAGCUCAUGCUUUGCCAUGAGCUCAUGCUUUGCUAUGUUGGGGAUUUUAUUUUAUUAUUUCUAUCUUAAUUCAAAGAAUAUAAACCAUACAAAAGCCUGCUGCCUUGUCAAAAGGAGUUCUGAAUCUGAAGCCCAAAAUAAUACCCAGUAUAGUUGUACAAUUUGGCUGUAUUUUAGUUGCUUUUCCAGGGUAAAGGAAAUUUUUGAUCUACUCUUUCCACCAAAGCACUCAUUUGUCAUGAAUGUCCUGUUCUCAAAGUUAUUGAGUCAGUUGUGAUGACAGCUGGUUUUCUAAGCAGCCAGGAAAGAAGAGGAAUCUUUAUAUAUUUUUUCCCCUUUUUUCUCAUCAGGAGCCAAGAAAGAACAUUUAUAUACUUUAAAACCAGUCCUCAAGAGAGAACUAUCUGCACUCCUCUCACCCCCCCCAAAAAGGUUAUACAUCUUAAUACUAAAUUCUGGAUAUUGUGUUGUUUCCUCAGAUCCAGCACCAGCUAAAGGAAGGGAGCUUGUAUACUUUUUUUUUUGUUUCUAAUAAAAACAUACAGGUUCCUUACCAGUAGCACAUAGAUAGGGUAGACAGUUGUAUGAAUAUUAUGGGUACCAAUGAAAGUAAUAGUAAGAAUUUAUGAGCUGACCAGAUUC